GACGAACGCUGGCGGCGUGCCUAAUACAUGCAAGUAGAACGCUGAAGGAGGAGCUUGCUUCUCUGGAUGAGUUGCGAACGGGUGAGUAACGCGUAGGUAACCUGCCUGGUAGCGGGGGAUAACUAUUGGAAACGAUAGCUAAUACCGCAUAAGAGUAGAUGUUGCAUGACAUUUGCUUAAAAGGUGCAAUUGCAUCACUACCAGAUGGACCUGCGUUGUAUUAGCUAGUUGGUGGGGUAACGGCUCACCAAGGCGACGAUACAUAGCCGACCUGAGAGGGUGAUCGGCCACACUGGGACUGAGACACGGCCCAGACUCCUACGGGAGGCAGCAGUAGGGAAUCUUCGGCAAUGGACGGAAGUCUGACCGAGCAACGCCGCGUGAGUGAAGAAGGUUUUCGGAUCGUAAAGCUCUGUUGUAAGAGAAGAACGAGUGUGAGAGUGGAAAGUUCACACUGUGACGGUAUCUUACCAGAAAGGGACGGCUAACUACGUGCCAGCAGCCGCGGUAAUACGUAGGCCCCGAGCGUUGUCCGGAUUUAUUGGGCGUAAAGCGAGCGCAGGCGGUUAGAUAAGUCUGAAGUUAAAGGCUGUGGCUUAACCAUAGUACGCUUUGGAAACUGUUUAACUUGAGUGCAAGAGGGGAGAGUGGAAUUCCAUGUGUAGCGGUGAAAUGCGUAGAUAUAUGGAGGAACACCGGUGGCGAAAGCGGCUCUCUGGCUUGUAACUGACGCUGAGGCUCGAAAGCGUGGGGAGCAAACAGG
rnacentral:rRNA from 1 species